CAAAAUAUUCAAUUGAAUUGAUCAUCGAUGACGGCAAUUAAAAUAUGGUAAGUAUUCGAUUUUAUUACCUACUAUCUACACUAAUGAUAUAGGUAAGUAUUGGAAAAUAAAUUUUCCUAUCAUAAACAUCACUUAAAUCUACUCCCACAAAAUUGAAUUACCUACCUACAUGCACAUUUAAACUACUUCAUGGUAUAGCAUAGCUAAGAUGGGUGGACAUUAUAUAUCCUAAUUGAAAAUAUAAAAGUAUCCGAGCAAGGGCCUAUAACGUGAAACUUUCCAUUUGCAAACAUAACAUAGCAUACUUGGCCUAUUUGUGGAAGAAUUGCAGACAUGUGUAAAAUUACAAUUUUCAUAAUCAGUUUAUUCAUCAUCUACAUUGCAGUAAUUCCAGAAAUUGAAUCUGCAGAAAGAAUGUGUGCUUCUAAUGGUAGAAAACACUCCACUAAAGAUAAGUGCUCGUGGCAAUGUUAUAUAGACUGUAAUUUUGACGACAAGUGCGGCGGAUACGUAAAAUGUAUUCCAUCAGAGGGCAGCAAGGGGAUGUUUACGUGCGUUUGUGAGAAUUAUUGAUUAUGUGCCCAUCAAGAUUCAAUUUCAAGUAUUGUGAUAGGUUAAUUUAGGCUGUAUGUAUCUAUAACAAUAAAUUCAUUGUAAACUAGAA